AUACGUAGGGUGCAAGCGUUAAUCGGAAUUACUGGGCGUAAAGCGUGCGCAGGCGGUUUUGUAAGACAGAGGUGAAAUCCCCGGGCUCAACCUGGGAACUGCCAUUGUGACUGCAAGGCUGGAGUGCGGCAGAGGGGGAUGGAAUUCCGCGUGUAGCAGUGAAAUGCGUAGAUAUGGGGAGGAACACCGAUGGCGAAGGCAAUCCCCUGGGCCUGCACUGACGCUCAUGCACGAAAGCGUGGGGAGCAAACAGGAUUAGAUACCCUGGUAGUCCACGCCCUAAACGAUGUCAACUGGUUGUUGGGGAUUUAUUUUCUCAGUAACGAAGCUAACGCGUGAAGUUGACCGCCUGGGGAGUACGGCCGCAAGGUUAAAACUUAAAGGAAUUGACGGGG
rnacentral:rRNA from 1 species